GACGAACGCUGGCGGCGUGCCUAAUACAUGCAAGUCGAACGCAGUGGGGACGGGGGAGUAACACGUGGGUAACCUCCCAUCAGAGGGGAUAAAACUUGGAAACAGGUGCUAAACCGAUACUGAUGGAUGGACCCGCGGUGCAUUAGCUAGUUGGUGAGGUAACGACUCACCAAGGCCAUGAUGCAUAGCGGGCCUGAGAGGUGGAUCGGCCACACUGGGACUGAGACACGGCCCAGACUCCUACGGGAGGCAGCAGGGGGGAAUCUUCGGCAAUGGACGAAAGUCUGACCGAGCAACGCCGCGUGAAUGAAGAAGGUUUUCGGGUCGUAAAACUCUGUUGUUAGAGAAGCGGUAUCUAACCAGAAAGCCACGGCUAACUACGUGCCAGCAGCCGCGGUAAUAC
rnacentral:rRNA from 1 species